GAGUUUGAUCGUGGCUCAGAUUGAACGCUGGCGGCAUGCCUUACACAUGCAAGUCGAACGGCAGCACGGGAGCUUGCUCCUGGUGGCGAGUGGCGAACGGGUGGGUAAUGCAUCGGAACGUAUCCUGGAGUGGGGGAUAACGUAGCGAAAGUUACGCUAAUACCGCAUAUUCUGUGAGCAGGAAAGCGGGGGACCUUCGGGCCUCGCGCUCUUGGAGCGGCCGAUGUCGGAUUAGCUAGUUGGUGAGGUAAAGGCUCACCAAGGCGACGAUCCGUAGCAGGUCUGAGAGGAUGAUCUGCCACACUGGAACUGAGACACGGUCCAGACUCCUACGGGAGGCAGCAGUGGGGAAUUUUGGACAAUGGGGGCAACCCUGAUCCAGCCAUGCCGCGUGAGUGAAGAAGGCCUCGG
rnacentral:rRNA from 1 species